GACGAACGCUGGCGGCGUGCUUAACACAUGCAAGUCGAACGGAAAGGCCCUGCUUUCGUGGUGCGCUCGAGUGGCGAACGUGUGUCACACGCGUGAGUACCCCGCCCUUCUUUGGGGUAUGACUUGAGGACUCUGGCUCAUACUCUGGAUGGGAGUGCCUGCUGCAUUGUGGGGGAUGGAUUGUUUUGGCUGAUGGGGAUGGACUCGCGGCUUAUCCGCUUGGUGGUGGGGUAGUGGCUUACCGAGGCCUUGACGUGUAGCCGGGCUGAGAGGGUAACCGGCCACAUUGGGACUGAGAUACGGCCCAGACUCCUACGGGCAGCAGCAGUGGGGAAUAUUGCACAAGGGGCGGAAGCCUGAUGCAACAACGCCGCGUGCGGGAUGACGGCCUUCGGGUUGAAAACCGCUUUCGCCUGCGACGAAGCGUUAGUGACGGUAAUGGGUGAAGAAGCACCGGCUAACUACGUG
rnacentral:rRNA from 1 species